ensembl:snoRNA
UAGAUCAAUUAUAAUUUUUAUUUGUUUGCCUGAUUUCCCUUUGGAUAAUGAAGGCAUAUUUAGUCAUUAUCUCUUUGGAGACAU